rnacentral:lncRNA from 1 species
UUGGACACCUAUAUGGCACCAAAGUUAUAGCAGAUUGGACUAGUCUUAUUUUUAUAUACCAAAAGCCUACUUUAUUAAAUUGUUCUAAAAUUGUUCUUGGUUUUGUAAGAUAAAAUGUAGCAUGUCUGGGCCACAUACGUUUUAGUCCAUUACAACAUAUUCAAUCUUAACACAUGCAUAUACACAUGCUUCUGUUUUUAUUUUUCUUUUUCUUUUAUUUUUAACAUUAAAUUUAAUAUAAUCAAUCCAAAAUAGAAAUAACUUUCUGAUUACAAAUCCGGCUCGAACGAAAACAUUAUAAUAUUCUAAUAUUUUCUAACUAGCUUCGCUCGACCAAUCACUCAUGGUGCGUUCCACUAGAUAGGGUCUAAAAUCCUAGAGUAUUGGUUAUUGUUCUCAACCUUUGACGAGAACCAUGAGAUGGUAAGAUUGACAUGGUUUCUCGGAUCUCGGGACUUCCCAUGUUGUCUCUAGUGUAGCUAGUAUUCGAUGAAUUCACCGAGGCUUGUCACGAUCUAUGAAGCGUUAGACGAAUAUGAGAAGAGAAUACAUAGAAGCACUAACCUAAGGACGGGUGCCCUUACACUGCCUGCAUAGACUCAACUUCGUCCCCAUAUAACCAAAUCAGAAAGAGGGACCCAAAGAUCACCCAGCCCAAAUUGGAAUGCAAAAAGUUGUUUUGAGGAAACCGCUGCAACACAAACCGUUAAUUUCUCAAAAUCUCGCCAAUCGCCACAAUCGAGAACCAAAAGCGAUUAAUUUAUUAUCAUCAAAUGAUAAAUCCAGUGACAAUGGUACAUCGAUCCCAAUGAAAACAGCGCAAAAACCAAUAGGCUUUGUCGACUAAGCUUCAAGGAGGACCAGUUACACAUCACCGGGAAGAGGAGAGACAAUUGUGAAGGAGAACGCAAUACCAUCAAACAAGCCAUGGACAACUUCUUCGACACUGCGACACUGAGCAUCUCUGCAAGCCAAACACCAAAACCACCGACACACGCCUGCGGUUGUGUCUAAUCUUGAAUCCGAGUAAUGAGACCACCAAAUCUCUCAAGGCGUAGCUGAAAGGUUGCGGGAACGUAAGACGCCGAGGAUAACAUGAUAGACCCACAAACAUACUGCCGUUCAGCUUCUGCCAAAAGAAAGCAUCCCGACGAAUGCACACCGGAUCUGAAGCUUGAACCACCCUACCCCCUUCAUGUGAUGCCCACUCUGCAAGUAGCUUAAGGGGCCACCUGUAUAACCCCAAAGAGCUGACUACACCUACACCCACCGCACUGCAAGCCACGUUGAGAUUCCAAGAACAAGUCCUAGACCGGCCUGGAUCUCCUCGCAAAAGAGACGGUGUCGAAACGAGACUCCAUAUCCAAGACCACAACAAGAUAGAGAGAGUGGCGAAAGUAUAGUGAAGUAAAGACCAAAAAAAAGCUUGAGAGAAGAAUGUUGCCGGAACGAAACAUAAAUUCAAAAGAAAGAAUUACUUCGAGAAAGAGAGUC